rfam:Gossypium raimondii Chr10_contig_22, whole genome shotgun sequence.
UAUUAAAAAUUUUAUCCAUUUUACUGUUAAAAAAUGACAUGGUUAAUAGAAUAACCACACAAUUACACGUGGUGUCCCACACGUAUCUCAUUCUAACGUAUAAAGAUUAGUUUUUAACCAUAUAAAUGAAAAUUUUUAACG